rnacentral:rRNA from 1 species
AACAGGAUUAGAUACCCUGGUAGUCCACGCCGUAAACGAUGUCGACUUGGAGGCUGUUCCCUUGAGGAGUGGCUUCCGGAGCUAACGCGUUAAGUCGACCGCCUGGGGAGUACGGCCGCAAGGUUAAAACUCAAAUGAAUUGACGGGGGCCCGCACAAGCGGUGGAGCAUGUGGUUUAAUUCGAUGCAACGCGAAGAACCUUACCUACUCUUGACAUCCAGAGAACUUUCCAGAGAUGGAUCGGUGCCUUCGGGAACUCUGAGACAGGUGCUGCAUGGCUGUCGUCAGCUCGUGUUGUGAAAUGUUGGGUUAAGUCCCGCAACGAGCGCAACCCUUAUCCUUUGUUGCCAGCGAUUCGGUCGGGAACUCAAAGGAGACUGCCGGUGAUAAACCGGAGGAAGGUGGGGAUGACGUCAAGUCAUCAUGGCCCUUACGAGUAGGGCUACACACGUGCUACAAUGGCGCAUACAAAGAGAAGCGACCUCGCGAGAGCAAGCGGACCUCACAAAGUGCGUCGUAGUCCGGAUCGGAGUCUGCAACUCGACUCCGUGAAGUCGGAAUCGCUAGUAAUCGUGGAUCAGAAUGCCACGGUGAAUACGUUCCCGGGCCUUGUACACACCGCCCGUCACACCAUGGGAGUGGGUUGCAAAAGAAGUAGGUAGCUUAACCUUCGGGAGGGCGCUUACCACUUUGUGAUUCAUGACUGGGGUGAAGUCGUAACAAGGUAACCGUAGGGGAACCUGCGGCUGGAUCACCUCCUU